AGGAAGAGACGGCUUUUGCAAGCUGGAAGGGGUCUUUGUCUCCUGGCGACGAGGCUCCGACUCCAGUUCCUGUCUAAAUUGUUCCGUCUUCUACCCUCUAGGGUCUGCUAGGUGACUCUACCACAGCCCCUCUUAUCCCGUGACCUGCAGGUACUGGGAGAUCCCUAGGGAGGACGUCGGAACAUCUGGAAGCUGGAAAAUGGGAAGAUAUUUCUGGUACACUGAAGAAGGUAAUUUCGAAGAAUCAGACCCCUCAAGGGAUGCUGCACACCAUGGCACAUUUCUACCCAAUCUUUCAAAAUGUCCUUCCUGGACUGAGGAAAUGACUUGACAUAUACAACUCCACCUGUGACCAAAAGCACAUCUGCGUGGAGAAGGAGUGCCAUGUGACUCAGAUAAAGAAGAAUAAGAUAACUCCAGACAAACUUCAUACAGAACAAACAAAAUUAGCCUUAUCAAGAAAAAGGUAUGGUCCAAAUGUUUGCUCUUCAACAUUCAAAAGAUACAAAGUUGAUAGUAGCUCUUUGGUGAUAACAGAGAAGUCCAGAGUUCACCAAGCACAUUAGAAGCAUGUUUCAGAGCAUCCAUAAGCUUGUUUUUGUCCUACAGAAAUACCAAGAGAAUAGAUGAGAAUGCUUAAUUUAAAUAAACAUUUAUCAUGGUUGUACAAACUCUUUACAUCAAGGACUUGUUACAUAGUUUUAAAAGUAUACAGCACUUACAUGAUUUUAACCACAUUAAAAAAAAAAUCAACUUUAGAUCAUUUCACCUUGCCGUCUCUACUAAAAAGAAAAAGAUCCAUGACUCUUAGUAAGACUUACAUAGCUAGGACUGCAAGCUUCUUAAUACAAGGCUCAUCUGUUCAGCCUAUAGAGACUAGUAAACUAGCUCCUUUCAUCACGUUUUACCUGCAAUCAAGAGAACUGGCAUACUGAUUCAGGUGAGGCAAGAUACUAUCCUGACAUGGCUUUGUCAUGGGGUAAAGACUCUUCAGAGCUGUCUGAAAUGACUAUCCAUGUAAGUUUGCUUUCCUCUUGCAUUUUUCAAACCUUCACAAUGCCCGUAUGUUCCACUUAACUCAGAAAUGCAAGCAAUUCAGUGAGACAGAGGAAACACUAUCCAUAUACAGGAAGAGAAAGAAGCAAGCAAUAGCAAACCCAUCUUCUCCAUUCCAAGACAUUUAUUUUUCAUUCCCAAUUUGUUGGGAAUGAAACCAAUAAAAGACACCAGAGCAUAUCAUUAUGGUUUAGAAAACAUAGGAAGACAUUUUACAAAGAUAAGACAGCAUCAUCUUCAUCACAGUAAUUUAUAGCUUAAAGUACCAACCAAUUUGGCUCAAUUCCUUACAUUUUAAUCCAGAGAAUCUACAGUAUCUACACAGAUUAUCGCUUACUUUAUCCUUUAGAAUAUGAAAAUAUAUAAAUAAGUUUUAAGUAUAAUUUUUAAGCUAGCUUCUACAAUAAAAAUAUCUAUUCAGGAAAGAAAGUUUUCAAGAUAUUUAGAAAAAAGCUGAAUAAUUCAAUUGCAAAGCAUUUAAAUCCAUUCAUUCAACAAAUAUUUACAGAGUACCUAUUAUAUGCUAAGUACUCCUCAGGUCUGAGCUAUAGAACCAAGGAGGCUAGUAAUUCUGGUCAGACACUGGUGUGGUAAUAUUACAGUAAUGCGUAAAUAAAAGGAAGGGUCUCUUGCUCUUAUGAGCAUGUAUUCUAGUAGGGAAGACAGACAAUCCCAAACCAUAAAUAUACAUGUGAGUAAACAGGGCUCUUUGUUGAAAUUGCUCCACACAGUGCUUGAGGGACAUGAGACUGAAGAUACACACUGGUGGACAGUGAAGAUUAGAUUUACCAGAAAUAGUGGUGCCACCUAACUCUAGAAAACACUGCACAUGCUUCCUUAGGAACACACGAACUGCAACCGUGCCUCCCACAUUUCCAUUCUUACCAGGCAUCACUUCAUUUGGAAUGACUGGACCUUCACAGCCUGUAUGGCUUCAUCCAAGAGCUUCUCCGGCUUAUCCUGAGGGGACUGCUGCAUUGUAGGCUGAAAAAAUAAAAAAUGCCACUGACGUCUCAAGCACAUUCUUGUAGCAAAUAUGUUAUUUCUAUAGUUCUAGCCAUAGUCCUUCUCCAAGACUGUCACAGAAGGAUCAAUCCAGCUCUAUACCUCAGACCCAUUUACCAAUUAUUAACAGCUGCUGCACGCAGAGCCUUGCCCCACCACUGAAGUUAACAGAGUAAGAAUGACAAAGGAGAACAGUAUGUGUACAAAGAAUUGCCUCUCUCUCAGAAACGGACUCAACAUUGUUGUAGUAGGCUGGCAUCAAAGAAAUUUGCAGUGGUAGUUCAUGGCUGUGUUCUGCUAAUACACUCUGAAUCCAGCCCAGACAAAGCCAUCUGACCAAUCAAAAUCUUGUGAUAGGUAUAGCCGAAACCAGUCUCUAAAGCCUCUCUUUUCCCCUAGACUACUUAUCAUCUGCAUUUCAAUCUAUUAGACAAACUAAGGAACUAGUUUAUGAGAUCACUGACCAUUAAUAUGUACUAUUUACUAUGACAUUUACAUCCUCAUUACUAUUAUUUAUUCCCAAGUAAAGAUCUUUUACUUUAGAGAGUCAUUGUGUGUUUGUUGUUUAGGUUUACACAUAUGGUGUCGUAAAUGGGACCUGAAAAAUUUGCUAUGGGAAGGAAUUGGUGAUUCUCGGAGCACGUAUGCAGUCCUCACUUUGCACCGCUGAGUGCUCUGCUCCUGUAAGUCACCAUUUCUGCCCUGGUGAGUCUUCCCUCAGGUUAAGGAUCUGUUACUUUGAUACAGGAUUUUUGACAUUGUUGGGAUCUGGUUUGAAUAAGGCUACUUUAAUAAAAGGCCGUCUAUCCCUCCUAGCAUAAUAAAAGGGCUUUUGUCUAUUCUGGUAAGUCCUUUCUGCUGUCAAGAUAAAUAUCUUUCUGGAUUGAGCACUCUCGUUUUGUGCCAGACUUACCUUCUGUCUGUGAAGCAUUUAUUUUCUGGUUUGCACGCCUAGUUUAAUAGUUUGCUUGAUUUACAUAUUUUUGUGAACAUUUUAAUCCUGGUUUCCUGUGAAUUGGUUUGACUUUUUCCCCUUGCUUGUUUCAAAAAAAUGGCACUAGUAAAGUAGUUGCCACUAUUGAAAACACUAGUCUAAACUCCUGGUAUUUUCUUAUAAGAUUUAUAGGAUUUUCUUUGCUCUCUAGCUAUUAAUAAGAAACAGAAUGUGAUUCUCAAUCAUUAAGGCAUAGAAGGUUUUUCUGAACUCCUGAUGAUUACAUAUUAUAAUGUAUUCUUUGGCACUUUUUAAAAUUAAUAGGCAAAAUUACAUCAGAAAAAAAUGUAGGUCUAAAUGGUCGUUAUUUUUAAAACUCACAACUAUAGAGUUAACAUAUGGAGUCCUCUAGGUUGUCUGUCUCUCUGAUGUUUCCUGCCGGCUCUGUAUCUGUUUACUUUUCUACUGAGAUAAAACUCACUGCAUAUGGUAUUCCAACCAAGAUUUUUUUAAACUUUAUUUCCAUGUUUAUUACAUGUUUACAACUUGAUGUUAAGUACAUAUUAGAAUAGACUUAACACACAACUUGGGAGAAAAGCUGACAUUCUCCACUGAAUGGGUUGAAAAGGAAUGUAAAACUACAAAAUACUUAAGUGUGAGUUUCAAAUUAUAGCAAACAGAACAAUGAAUACCUUGUCAUUUUUUAAAUUUUCCAACAUUAAUUUCAUUAUAAAAAUUGAUAAUUUAAGAAGGGAAAAUAAGGGAUACUCACAAAAGCCAUUUUACUUUAGUUAUAGGGCACAAAUAAGAGUCUUAACACAGAAAUCCUACCUCCAAUUUAAAAUGUAAAUACUUGAUGACAUAAUGAAUCAAGGAGGAUUAAUUAAUGUGAAUUGAAAAUCUAAUGACUUAAAUCCAUAAAUGCCAUUUGUUUUUGUCUGAAAGAGUUAGGCUGAUUUAAGGGUGACACACAGCAGAGUUCUAUUUGACAUUCGUGUCAACCAUUUGGUGCUCAGAAUGAAGAUGGCCAAAUACCAAGUGCUUAGUGACAGAAAGUCAGAAUUAAUCCGUUCCAAGUGACGGAGAGCCAGUAGAAUUAAUCUCCAUCUCCUGAUUUAUGGUGAACAAAUGGAUAGCUUUUUUCACUGCAAGUUUCAAAAUGAAACUCUGUUCUGCAGCUGGUGAAAUUCACAGAACAUAGAGAAUACUGUCUGUAGUAUAAUUUCAAUGUUUAAAUGGUUUAAAUACAAAAUUAUGGGUGAUUAUCAAAACUAUUAUUGGUAAUAGUUUAUUUUGAUUCUGUACACACCCCUUAGCACAUUUUGUGAAGAAAUGUGUUUUUUAAAAUACUACUUAUGUUUACUCAAAUACAUUAAAAAUCAUUUUAAAAUUAUUUUCUACCAUGGAUUGCAGAAGACUCUUACUAAAAGUGAAUAACGCUUAUUGUUCUCACUGUUUAUAGAGAAUCAUCUGAAAAACAUAUUCUUUCUAAUACCACUUAGAAAAAACAUUUAAUGAAGAUAACUCACUUCUAAUUACAUUAUUCUAGCGAUAAAACAUUUCUUCAUGUAGCUAUUUGCAACACAUGAUUUAUGGGUUUUCAAUUUUUAAAUUUCUCAUUUAAUGUCAUGUUAAAACGUUUCUAAAUCAGUGUUCCAGUAUCAGAUGCUUAAAUGAGAAAAAAAGGACAAAAGAGAAAAUUCCGUAUCAAUUAUUUAGCCUCCUCCCUUCCCUAGAAAACAUUUCCCUUUAAAUGCAAGGCACACUCCAUUUCUUAGAACAGAGAUCAGGAAAAUUUUGUGUGUUUGUAAAGGGCCAGAUAAUAAACAUUUUGGUCUUUGUGAAUCUCAUUCGGCUUCUAUUGCAGCUGUUUACCUUUGGCUGGUGUAGUGGGAAAGCAGCUGUAGACAGACUGCACUUAUUAAAAAAAAAAAAAAUCCAAAUUUGACCUUCGGGCCAACUGCUGCCUCAGAAGAACAGAUCUGCAUAUAUAAAAGAAUCAUUUGAAAGAAACUGGUCUCUAGUCAGAUGCGAUGUCUGAUUCAGAUUCAGAAUCUAGUAGCUAAUCACUCUAGAACAUUUUGAUGUCAAGCACUUUGAAUUUAGCCAAUUUUCUGUUUUAGUUAAGAUUCUUCUAUUGAAACACAUGUCAUGCUUUUCAGUGGAGAUAAUUUAUCUUUGUUUAAGAAUGUGCUUAGGUAUUAUUUAUUGAGGGGAUUCUGUUUAAAAUUAAUAAAUAGUGUCCAUACAAUUUAAUAUCCAAUUUAAUUUUUAAAGAUAAUAAAAAUAUAAUAGAAUCAAAACAUUUAAAAUAAGUACACUCAGUACCCACUCUGAUAAUUCAUUUAAGUCACACCAACUAUAGAAUAUGAAAAAUAGGCCGGGCGCGGUGGCUCACGCCUGUAAUCCCAGCACUUUGGGAGGCCGAGGUGGGCGGAU